GCUUUCGUGGUCUAGUGGUCAGCACACGCGACUCGUAUUCGAGAGGUCCGUGUUUCGAAUCCUGGCGAGGGCA
rnacentral:tRNA from 1 species